rnacentral:lncRNA from 1 species
GGUCGCGGUGUGUUUCAGUUACAAAACGGGAUUUUUUCGCUCCUCUCUCCCCUCUCUGCCUCAGAGGAUCUGCAGUUUCAAAAAGCCGAUUGAGCACGGCGUGAAAGCGCGAGGCUGACGACCGGGGGGGCCUCCUACCGCCACUAGCGCAAUCCUCGUUCCGUGCCCCGCAAGGAGGAGCCCCAGUGGAACCCACAGCGCAUCGCAUCCCCGCUUUCCCCCCCCCCUCAUAUCCCCGGCACCUCGCACCCCCCGUGGAUGUCACCAGCAUCGCUGUUUCAAGGCUGGGGAUGGUAUUCCCAGCUCAGCCGGGCGCUUUCAUUCAUAAAACUGCAAGGAGACAUCCAGACUUUGGUCACCCCUCUGUAUCCAGUGCUGGGACUGGGCCAGGGAUGCCUUUAUGCUGAUUGUAUCCACGAAUGUGUGUAUAAUGAACUCAGAAGGAAUGCAGCACUAAAAGAAGCCUUUGUAAUGUUGCUAUUUUAAGGAGACCCUUGGGUUCACUGAAACAUCACGACUUACAUCAGCCAAAGCCUUUGAUCAGGGAGGGAAAGGUCUGACAUGGAUGGGGUUGACAGCCACGCUGCAAAAAUCCCUCAUUGUGCAAGAAGCCAGUCCAAUGACUGAGUGUCACCAAGGGUGAGACAGCCUUUUCUGCACUGUUUUCACUUGGCUAUUGCUGGUGUUUUGUUUGCAAAGUCAAGGCCAAAAUAUACAAGAAGCAGCUUUGGACACGUUGCAUUUGUGCAUUAAGCCGGAUAGCCAUGAUGAAUUUCUGGCCAUUUUUGUUGUAUGCGUUGUAAAGAGCAAAAUUUUGCUGUCAACCUUCUAUUUUUGCAUGGUCAGAGAGGAGAAGGAGUAGAAUAGAGGUGUAAUUGACACUGUUUGUCCAAAGCUGAAGUCGUAACUCCUGGCUGAGAUGACUGGAAGCUGUGUGUGUGAUGGCUUCUUUGUUGGCUCUUUAAGAAAAUAUCUGCUCUGGGUCUCAUGGACAAAACCCAGGGUGAAAAAUCCUCUCAGUGCAAAAUGAGAAGCCAGAUGAAAAGCCCAGAAAAGCUGUGGAUGCUCCACCUCUGGAGGUGCUCAAGGCCAGGCUGGAUGGGACCCUGGGUUUCCUGAUCUGGUGGGUGGUAAACCUGCCCAUGGCCCAGGGUUGGGACUGGAUGACCUUUGAGGAUGUUUUCAGCCUAAGCUAUUCUAUGAUUCAAUGACUUUCUCCAUUAGCAUCCAGCACUCAAGGAACGGGGUUGCUUUGGAAAUGAAUGUCAGAAUAAGGAAAAUAGGCUUUUUGUACUCACAGAAAACAAAUGCUCAAAAAGAAUGAGGGUGAGAGUCAAAGCUAUUAAAACACUUCCUGGGACAGUAUUUUGGUUUUCAGCAGCUUCCUCUUCUGUUUUGUUUCAAUUCCUUCUAAACCCUGCUCCUCGUCCUCCGAGUGGUAUGAAAUAAAAAAUAGUAAGAAAUAGAUUUUUCUGUACA